GCUCCGUUAGUGUAGCUCGGCCAAUCAUGCAGGGCUCUCAAUCCUGCGACAGGGGUUCAAAUCCCCUACGGAGCA
rfam:Candidatus Syntrophoarchaeum caldarius isolate BOX2 BOX2_8_reassembly_contig03, whole genome shotgun sequence.